rnacentral:rRNA from 1 species
UACGGAGGGUGCGAGCGUUGUCCGGAAUCACUGGGCGUAAAGCGCACGUAGGCGGCUUGUUAAGUCAUGGGUGAAAUCCUGGAGCUCAACUCCAGAACUGCCUCUGAUACUGGCAAUCUUGAGUCCGGAAGAGGUGAGUGGAACUCCUAGUGUAGAGGUGGAAUUCGUAGAUAUUAGGAAGAACACCAGUGGCGAAGGCGGCUCACUGGUCCGGUACUGACGCUGAGGUGCGAAAGCGUGGGGAGCAAACAGG